rnacentral:tRNA from 1 species
CGUCCCGUAGCUCAAUAGCAGAGCACUCGCCCGAUAAGCGAGAGACCGCGGAGCGUUACCGCGCGGGACGACCA